CUUUGCAUACACGAAAGUGUGACAGGGCUAUCCCGAGUUGCCAUCCGCUGAGGAAGGCUUUUACCCAGCUCUAGAACGCUGGGMGAAUAAGGAGAGGGCAAGUCUGGUGUCAGCCGCCGCGGUAAUACCAGCUCUCCGAGUGGUGUGGAUGUUUAUUGGGCCUAAAGCAUCCGUAGCUGGCUAAGUUAGUCCCUUGUUAAAUCCACCGAAUUAAUCGUUGGAUUGCGGGGGAUACUGCUUGGCUAGGGGACGAGAGAGGCAGACGGUAUUUYCGGGGUAGGGGUGAAAUCCUAUAAUCCCGGGAAGACCACCAGUGGCGAAGGCUGUCUGCUAGAACGCGCCCGACGGUGAGGGAUGAAAGCUGGGGGAGCGAACCGGAUUAGAUACCCGGGUAGUCCCAGCUGUAAACGAUGCAAACUAGGUGUUUGAACGGCCACGUGCCGUUCUAGUGCCGCAGGGAAGCUGUUAAGUNUGCCGCCUGGGGAGUACGAUCGCAAGAUUGAAACUUAAAGGAAUUGGCGGGGGGAACAC
rnacentral:rRNA from 1 species